rnacentral:rRNA from 1 species
UACGGAGGGCGCGAGCGUUAAUCGGAAUUACUGGGCGUAAAGCGCGCGUAGGCUGUUGUGUAAGUUGGGGGCGAAAUCCCACGGCUCAACCGUGGAACAGCCCUUGAUACUGCGCGACUUGAAUCCGGGAGAGGGUGGCGGAAUUCCAGGUGUAGGAGUGAAAUCCGUAGAUAUCUGGAGGAACAUCAGUGGCGAAGGCGGCCACCUGGACCGGUAUUGACGCUGAGGCGCGAAAGCGUGGGGAGCAAACAGG